rnacentral:rRNA from 1 species
AUUGAACGCUGGCGGCAUGCCUUACACAUGCAAGUCGAACGGCAGCACGGGAGCAAUCCUGGUGGCGAGUGGCGAACGGGUGAGUAAUAUAUCGGAACGUGCCCAGUCGUGGGGGAUAACGCAGCGAAAGCUGUGCUAAUACCGCAUACGAUCUACGGAUGAAAGCGGGGGAUCGCAAGACCUCGCGCGAUUGGAGCGGCCGAUAUCAGAUUAGCUAGUUGGUGAGGUAAAGGCUCACCAAGGCGACGAUCUGUAGCUGGUCUGAGAGGACGAACAGACACACUGGAACUGGGACACGGUCCAGACUCCUACGGGAGGCAGCAGUGGGGAAUUUUGGACAAUGGGCGCAAGCCUGAUCCAGCAAUGCCGCGUGCAGGAUGAAGGCCUUCGGGUUGUAAACUGUUUUUGUACGGAACGAAACGGCGAGCUCUAAUACAGUUUGCUAAUGACGGUACCGUAAGAAUAAGCACCGGCUAACUACGUGCCAGCCGCCGCCGCGGUAA